rnacentral:lncRNA from 1 species
GGGAGGCCUCACGGGCGGCGCGGAGGGUGUGCGCCGUGGGGAAGCGCGGGAACCGCUCGGUUUCCUGGCACUGCGGAGCUAGGGAACGCGUUUUGUUUAAAUGCUGGGAACUGACGUAGUCGGGUUCUCUGCACAAAGCAACGAAGGCAUCGAAGCCUGGAGACCUGGGCAGGGCCGUUGUCGGCGGGAGGCUGCGAGGCGUCCAUGUUUCCGCCCCUGGGCCCUCCAGGUCUUUGCUCCUGCGCCGCCUCCUCCCCGGGCACCCAGAGAAAAACCCCAGAUUGGGCGUCCUCCCCAGAAGUGGUUUCGCCCCGCCCGCUUCCCCGGAGUCAGCGUGGCCUAGCGGGGAAGCUGCUCCCCGCGGGUGUGGACAGAGAAGCUGGAGGGCGUGAUGUCCGCUCACUGCAACCUCCACCUUCCGGGUUCAAACAGUUCUCCUGCCUCAGCCUCCUGAGUAGCUGGGAUUCCAGAUGCACAGCUGACUGCCUCCUUUGGAAAGGCUGAUCAGAAACUCACAAGAAUGCAACUGCUCAUCUCUCACCUAUGUGUGACCUGGAGGCCCCCUUCCCUUUGAGUCUUCCUGCUCUUGCUUCAAGUUGUCCUGCCUUUCCAGACUGAACCAAUGUUCUUCUUACAUAUAUUGAUUGAUGUCUCAUGUCUCCCUAAAAUGUAUAAAACGAAGCUGUGCCCCGACCACCUUGGGUGCAUGUUAUCAGGACCUCCUGGGGGCAGUGUCACUGGUGCAUCCUCAACCUUGGAAAAAUAAACUUUCUAAAUUGAGACCUGUCUCAGAUUUUUGGGUUCACGAGGUACAUAAAUAACAAGGGCAAGAAUGUGGAAAAAUUGAAACCCUCAUACAUUGCUGGUGAGAAUGUAAAAUGGUGUAGCCACUUUGGAAAACAAUUUGGCAAUAUUUAACAAUGUUAAACAGUUACCACAUGAAAACUGAAGUCCACACAAAACCUUGUACAUGAAUGUUCAUAGCAGCAUCACUCAUAAUAGUCAAAAAAUGCAAACAACCCAAAUGUCAACUGAUGGAUAAAAUGUAGUAUAUCCAUAUAAUGGAAUAGUUUUUGUUUUAUUUAAUGAAAUAUUCAUCAGCAAUAAAAAAGAACUAGCUGCUGCUGUCUGCUAUAAUGUGGACCUUGAGAACAUUGUUAAAUGAAAGCAGUCACAAAUGACUCCAUGUUUUGUGUUUCCAUCCAUACGAAACGUCUAGAACAGAUAAAUCUAUAGAGGCAGAAAACAGAUUGGUGGCUGCGAGGGGCUGAGGGAAUGGAAGUGGGAAAUGACUGUUUAUGGGUAUAGGGUUUCUUUUCGGGAUGAUAACAUUCUCCUAAAAUUAGAUUGUGGUAUUGGUUCCACAACACUGAAAAACCACCUCACCUUAAAUUGGUGAAUUUUAUAGUACAUGGAUUAGAUCUCAACAAAAACUUUUAUUGAAGAAAAGAUUUAUCUGGAGAUGGAGAGUGAUGAUGGUUGCAUAGUAUGAAUAUACUUAAUGUCCUUAAAAAUUAAGGUGAUAAAUCUUGUUAUAAAUAACAAUUAAAAAUGAGUUUCAAUAAAUUAUUUGGGAACAUUUGCAUCUUAUGCCUUAGCUUGGAACAACUUUCCUGUGAAUAAAAUGCUUGUGAUGUGUUAA